UUCCCUGUAGCUCAGACAGUAAAGAAUCCGCCUGCAAUGAGGGAAACCUGGGUUCAAUCCCUGGCGGGGAAG
rnacentral:tRNA from 1 species